UCCAACUCAAGUCUAAAUAUGUGAAGCUUCUAAAUAUGAAAACUUAAAACAACUAAAAGAGUUUAUUAAUAGAAUUACCUAAAGUGAUGGUUGAGACAACGAGCCCAGCUGAUUGUACAGCUAUGGGUCCCAAAGAAUCUCUAUGACUGUAUCGUGGACAGCAUCUUGGAAACUUUAAGGUCACUAGCUCAGAGCCUCUGCAUGACCUCCUCCACGUGCGCAUUGCUCC
rnacentral:lncRNA from 1 species